rnacentral:rRNA from 1 species
GAUGAACGCUAGCGAUAGGCCUAACACAUGCAAGUCGAGGGGCAUCACAUGAAGUAGCAAUACGGAUGGUGGCGACCGGCGCACGGGUGAGUAACACGUAUGCAACCUGCCUUCAACAAGGGGAUAACCCGUUGAAAGACGGACUAAUACCCUAUAACACAGGGGUCCCGCAUGGGAAUAUUUGUUAAAGGACAACCGGUUGAAGAUGGGCAUGCGUUCCAUUAGCUAGUUGGCGGGGUAACGGCCCACCAAGGCAACGAUGGAUAGGGGAACUGAGAGGUUUAUCCCCCACACUGGUACUGAGACACGGACCAGACUCCUACGGGAGCAGCAGUGAGGAAUAUUGGUCAAUGGACGCAAGUCUGAACCAGCCACGUCGCGUGAAGGAAGACGGCCCUACGGGUUGUAAACUUCUUUUAUACGGGAAUAAAGUGCCCCACGUGUGGGGUUUUGCAAGUACCGUAUGAAUAAGGAUCGGCUAACUCCGUGCCAGCAGCCGCGGUAAGUACGCAGCGA